AGAGUCAGCAGAGAAUUUGGAGAAAGAGUCAGCCAAGAAUAUGGAGAAACAGUCAGCUGAGAGUAUGAAGAAUGAGUCAGACUACAAAGCGUGGCACAAUGAAAAGGAAAGCUUAGAAAAGUACCACCGAAUAAAGAAACCUAAAAUAGAAAAAGGAAAGGAAGGUGAAGAAAUGCACAGUUAAUAUUGUUGCUGUUGGUUGUGCUACAAAUAAUGAAUCUGCUGCAAAUAAUG